AGGUGGGGGGCAAAGAGGAAUGACAAGGUGCAUGGACAUUCUUCCAACACCGACUCAAUCAUUUGGGUCCCAAUCAACUAAUAACUAAAGAAAAUUCAGAGCGGGUUUUCCGGCGACCAGUGGGCUGUUAUCAGCAUACCAGCGUCUGUAAAGACAUCGAUACAGAUACGAAUGUAGUUCCCCAGUUGUUCAUUCCUGCAUCGUCUGUCUGCAGGGGUUACCGCUCGGUUCUGAGUACUGCUGGGAUCUGAGAUGCUAGUCCACAGGGUGCCCUGUCAGAAGAGCUUAUCUGUCCGUUCGUACAGCGGUCUACUACCACCAGGGGAAUUUAGGAACCAAUGAGUAAUUUAAAAAUAGCCCAUUUCCUUACUUGUAUUUCUUCACCGUGAAGUUGAAACCUCCUCCACUCUCCCAUGUCUUCCCCACCACUCACAGCCUCACUGCCCCCUCCCCCGGGGCUCCUGGGGAGCCGCAGCCCUCGCUCCGUGCUCCUAGCCCUGCAUCCCUCGCCCUGUGCCUCUGGCCCCGAGCCCUGAGCACUGAGUCCUGAGCUCUGCGCCCCUAGCCCUGCACGUGGGUUAGUUGUUUAUUAUCAGGGAAAAUAGAUACCAAAUUUUUUAAAAAAGUGUUAUUACUAAGGGAGGGCAGAGCUCAGUGGUAGAGUGCCUGCCUCGCAUGCGCAAGGUACUAGGGUCAACCCCCAGUGCCUCCAUUGAUAGUAAAUAAGUAGGAACCUAAUUACCUCCCCCGCAGAAAAUAAAAAAUAAUUUUAAAAAAGUAUUAUUACUAACAACUAUAGAAAAUGGAUAAACAGCAAGGUCCUACCAUGCAGCACAGGGAACUACACUCAGUAUCUUGUAAUAGCCUAUAAUGAGAAAGAACAUGGAAGGAAUGUAUCUAUGCACAAUGAGUCACUGUGAACGCCCCUAGUCUCGUUUCCCCCUCGCACACCUUUAGGGGCAAUGCUCGAUCUGCGUAAGCUAAGGCUGCUUUGCUUCGGGCUGUAGCAAGGCCAUAAUGAUCACCUUCAGUAUGCACCUCUUGAUUGCUUCUCGCUAAUUGUGGGAAUGUCAGGUGAGUAAUCUACCAUCACCCAGGAAGGGAGGGAAGGCACAAGAGUCCUUGAGCCGGCCACUUCUGAAGACAUUUGCUGCAGACAAGAUUCACUCAGAGUAAGGGUGGGGUCGUUUGCUAUGAGGAGCCCAAGAUUUUCCAGGUGAGAAGUAAUUGAAAUCUCGCCCCCAGCUCCCUGGGAGUCUAAGCUGGGGUCGGCUGAGCCAAACCCCAGCGACAGAGAGCAGGUUAACUAAGAUUAAGGGGUAGGUGGGCGGACGGCUGCCAGCAUAACGGACACCAACUGGGGCCCGUGUGUCCUCCUGUCUCGCGGGUCCGACUCAGCACUGGACGUGCAGCAAAUCAGUCCUCUGUCGUCAAGGGCUUUGCAACGAGUAGAUAUUGUCGAAUAAUCAUUAGGACCAGGCGCCUCCAUGCUCUGUUUCUCCCCAGACAAUCAUGAAAAGCCUUUACCGGUGUAUCCCCAGCACCCCCGAGACGAACUCUCCUUUCACAAAUCCUAACUCAGGAGCGCCACCUCCUGUUCCAAGCACCUGCCUCCACCUUCCAGGUGAGCUAUGACAUUGUCCCAGUGGCCCCCGUAGGUGCGGGCUGCGCUGUGACUGCUUCUGGAUCACUGUCCCCUCAGCCCCCCCCCCACCCCGUGAGUGAGUUACCCUCUAAUGCACUGGCCCAGGGUCAUUCGGAGCGGCCGGCCUCGUUUUUGGGCCCAGUAUGCCUUUGCAGUUGGUGGCUCUUCCAUUCCCCACCUCCUCCGACGGCAGCGCUGCACCCCGCCUCCAGGCAGGGCCUGAUUUGGGAAGAGAGCUGGUGUUUAUUCAGGCUUUGGCUCAGGAGGAAAGCCCCUCAGUUUCCACCUACCCUGCAACGGUGCUACGCUUGGUGGUAUGAGAGCCGGGAACACGAGGUCUCAUUGGUCAUGAGACAUCACCGCGGCCGGGACGGGGCCCUGAAUCAGCAGGGCCAUCCCUGGAACACAGAUAAAUUCCACUGGUCAGACUCAGCGGGACCGGCCCUCACUAAGAACCUGGCCUGGGGACACAGGAGCAGCUGCACCUUGAGCAGAUUUCAGACGUUUCCCGGGACCUACAGGGAGAAGGGAGCCUUGGGAGGAACUUUUCCGAGGUCUCUUCCGAAUCAGCGCCAUGAAGUUAUUUUGCCUUUUCGUCUUUGUGGCCUUCUUCAUCUGCCAAGUAACGCCAGGUAAACCCUCUCAGGCAUCUCCCUUCUGUAGAGGAGUCCUAUUUCCUUUCUCCAGUCUGCUGCACUUUCAGAAGGACACCCUGGCUCCCCACCCCAGCUCAGGGACACUAACACGGGAAGAACGAGAGCAGGGACAUUUCUCAAGGGCUUCCCUGCAUUUGCACCUUCGGACUGUCUACACUUGAGGCACUGAGAAGGAACACUGACAUCGACGGGGGAAGAACCUUGGACCUGCUUUUUUGUCCAGUCUGAUGACACCCCUGCACAUAGGUCUCCUUUCUUAAAGCUUCCGCCUACUGAUGUGCGUUGGAGCUGCCAGCUCUGUCCAAAGUUUACCAUUUGCCUCAUCCUAGAGGCAUUGUCUUGAAUGAGUGGCUGUGAGAGCAAGAAAAGAGGACACUUUGAGGUUUGUGGAACCAUGGCAUCCUGGGGAAAACGCAGAGGUGUAUCCUGCCCGUAUCUUGAGCAAAAGGUGGCAUGGAUGGUGAGAGAGAGGGAGGCUGGAGCCUGAGUCCCUGCCUGAUGGUUCCCUGCGUCACAGAAGUGCCGAGUGUCCCGUGCCGCUUGGGGGAGCAAAGGGGCCUGUGUGCGAGCACCGCAGGGCUCUGGCUGGGCACCGGGAGUUGGAACCUUGCUUCCUGCAGAAAGUCGGCAAUUCUCUUCUGCUGCCAUGUUGUGCUUCAUACUCACCCAGCGUGUCCUCCACUUCUCCCUCACUCUCUACUUCCUCCGAGGUCCUGUCUUAAUAGAAGCUCAUCUGAUCAAAUAUUCCCUUCCCAGGUCACACUGCUCAGGGCUUCUUGUGCCUUCCAGAGAGUCGGUUCACAAAACUGACAAGACCGAGCUAAGGGGUCAGGAGCCGGAUGGAGCGGCGUGCCCCCCACCCCGACCCCCUCCUCCUCUGCUCUGGGUUACCCGCGGCCCGUUCCCUGUGGACCCGCUGGGCAGGGUGACUGAUUUCAUUGUGUCCCUCGGAUGAGUGACCAGAAUCAGCCUCCUCACUGGGCUAAUUUUCAGUCAGAGAGGAGGCAAGUGUAGACCCUGGCGGGCUGUGAGUCUGUAUCCUCUCUUGGGGAAGAAAAAGGAGGGGACUCGCAGGCCUCCUCAAAGAGAGGUUCUUGGUGCAGCACUGGGACAGUGAUGUUAGUGGCCCUCAGGCUUGGGGGGCGCAGGCGCCAGAGCUCCUCGGUCACAGCUGCCGUGAUCAGCACAGAGGGGUGUGGGCGGCCCUGCCACGGCAGCCACAACUGCUUGGCGUGAAGACAGGGACACAGGAGCCGGGCUGAGCAAACUGUCUGCUGGAGGCCCAGUUCCAGCCCCUGCCCUCGCAGCAGGCGGGGACAACAGGGCUGAGGCCCCGAGUCGGGGCAGCAGGGGCGUGGGAGCCUGGCGUGGACCCCAGGAGGGGUGGCCGUGGCCCUUGUCCAGGCUGAGGCCAGUGAGAGCCGCCCCCCGACCACUGCAGCCUAUGCCAAAGCUGGCGGUCUCUGCGCGUGGUCCGUCACAGACAGGCGGGGCUCGGGGCCCUCCUCCUCUCUCCCACCUGCUAGGAGGCAGGAAAGCAGGCUUUUCAGCCUGGCUUGGAGCCAGGUGGGAUUUUCUUUUCUCUUUUAGAAACCUCUCUCCCCAGCUGGUACCCUGGCUACUCUGGGACCUUUGCUUUAGGGACUUGAAUUUUAGGUCUUAAACCUUAUUUUUUUUAGGACAGAUCUGAUAAACCCUGAAGGCGGGGUUCGUCUCUAAGCCUGGGAACUGUGAGUGAGCUUGAGCCGGUUACAGCCAGUCCUCAAGGGGGCCAAGCACACUGUGUGCGUGUGUUUGCACGUUUAGUGAGUAGGCGUGCAGUCUCCUGCCCGGGCUAGGGCUGCCGUACCGUCCUAUUUGCAGUGGGCUCCUGUCCCAGGAAGAUAGAAAGACAAAAUGUUAACGCGUUGCUUCCCAAAGACAUUAUCUGACGACCCCACAACGCGCAUCUCAGAAGGCACAAUUGCAGGCUCUCUGUCCACCCAAGAGGAGUAUUUAACGCCUCUGAGCCCAGCUUCCAAACGAAAGCACAAACUAUUUCUGCUCACAACAAGCUCUUGAAGACUGGCAUCGUCCUCCUGUUUAAGGAGCCAGGAGAAGGGACAAGGUGGGAAAGAUGAGGUUAUGAGCACAGCGAAACGCUUCGUUUCUGUGACUCACAUGCAAGUGUGUGCCUGAGGAGGAAGAGAAAUUGCAUUAUUCGCAGGCCAGGGCUAUGCCCUGGGAGGAGCUUCUGCUGCACAAGGGUAAAGUGAGCUGAAAAAUCCACAUCUGGUGGAACGACCCUGAAUGAGGUGCAUUGGCGAGUUCACGUUUAAUGGAUUAUCCUUGAAUUAAACUGGAAAGCUGAGACCUCGUUAUAUUGUUCUCUUUAUCAGUUUCGCUUAUUUUGUCAACACCCAUUCAUUUAUUUUGAACACCUGCCCUGGGCUGGAAACUCUGCUGGUGGCCUGGGAUGUGGAGUCAAGGUCUCUUGUGCUAAGAAACUCACAGUCAUGGAAAUCUUACCCAAGGUGGGUGGGUCAAGGAUGUCUUCCCAGGGAAGGCCAUACAGGAGUCUUUAAAAAAUGAGUAAGAAUUAGGCAGGGCAAGUUGAAGGACAAGUGACUAAGUGCGUUCCAAUGUGCGGAGAACAAAAUGUACGAGGGGACUCUGCCAGAAACACGGCUGCCACUAUGUUCGGGGAGUUUGAGAACCAGGAUGUGAUGAGAUGAAACCAGAGAAAGUAUGGCCAGUGGGUGGAGGAUGGGAGACUCUGAGGAAGUUCUACUUUACCCUUUUAAGCUACAGGGAAAGGUUGAAGAGUUUUAACUUGAGGUAUGAAGAGGGACUGGAGAGGCUGGAAACCCAGAGGACUGGAGGGUGGUUAUUUAAACCAACUUGGGGUUUAAAUUACUUGGGGGAGCAGAAGCAUGAGGGUCUGGUCACUGGAGGUGGGAGGUGAGACCGAAGAUUUCUGAUAGGUCUGGCCCCCUGGGUCCUGGGGAUUUCCAGCAGCUGAGUCCUUGGUCUAGAGCCUAAAGGAAAGAUCAAGAGAGUGAUUUCUGAGACAUUAGGAUUCUUAUGGGUGAGACUUGAAGCCUCCCAGGCCAGGCAUCCAGCAGAGGCUAAAGUAACAGAGUUGAGAAUGAGAAGGUGGGUCUGUCCAGGAAGCCGGCAGGUUGAGAGGUAAACUUGGUAGCUUCGUCUGGAGCCAUUCUGGCAAACGGCCCUUCUGUUUCCCUCCUGGCAUCAUGGCGAUCAGCUCAAAAUUGCCAAAGAUCCCUGGGGUAGAAACUAUCCUGAUUCCGACUCUAACGCUAAUGCCUGUUUCAAUAAUUACGUCUAACUUGAGUUGAGGGCAUUAAGGGUUGCCAUUUGGCCUCUGACAUCGGACCUCCUCAGGGACAGUGGUUUCUCUCAUGAUGAAUCUUUCCCCAUUGUCCCCAGGUGGUGGAGAACACGGUGCUCCCGUCAGGCAUGAAUUCCUUAACGCCUUGGUGAAAGGAAGGCCCCCUGACCUUCCCAAGGUCACAGUCAGAGCACAGCUCUGUGGUCACGUGUAGUUAAGUCAACUUCAACUUCCGUCUCUCUUUGGAUUCCUUCUGCUGAGGUGUAUUUCUGAUAUUCUGACCCUUCGACUUCAUUUACUGAAUUCGUAUCUAAGUCAGCCCAGCACCUCCCUGAGCCUCCCCCGCAGUGGAGCUGGAUUAUUCAACCCA